rnacentral:lncRNA from 1 species
AAGGUGGUGGAAAAUUAUAUUUCCACAAGAGGGUGUGUGGAUCUUACACUUCCCAUCCUAGAUUCACAAAAUCUAAUGGAUUGUUAAUAUUAAAAAAAAGUUAAUAAAAUACAGAGAUAUUAUUGGUCAUUGGAUUAAGAGGAUAUAAGAUUUACACUCCUUUUAGGAUGUAUAAGUAGUAUUGCUCGUCUAGUUUCUCACCAUAGGGAGUCUCUGCAUAAACCUUUUGUUCCUUGGUGUUAUCGUUGCAUCGGUAUUGCUUGGCAUUACUUGUUGUUUCCUACAAUGAGACCAUCAAAUAUGUUGUCAAUAUCGCUUAAGAUUUUGAGUGUUAUACAUGAUGGAUGACAGAUUUAGCGAUCUCACUAUAAGAAUGGUACAAACAAAAUAUGUACUUUUUGCUGUUAAGAUUAUUCCUGGGCCUUUUUAUAACACUUAAUCAGAGUCAGCCCUCUACUUCCUGUAUUGUAAGCAGGUCUAUUUUUGAUUCACACAUAUAUUAUUUUUUAAAUU